GAGCCUGUUAUUGAGAAAGCUGUUGGGACGGAGAUCAAGUGGCAUGAAGGGAAGGAUUUGACUGAUGAUUGUGAUAGUUUCUUUGACUUUUUCUGUCCUCCGAGAAGUCCUGAGAAUUAUGAGGAUUAUGAUGAAUAUGGUGCUUAUGAGCUUCAAAGUAGGAUGGAAAAAGACUAUGAUUUGGGAUGUACUAUUAGGGAUAUGAUCGUACCACGUGCUGUGUCCUGGUUCACUAGGGAGGCUGCUGUUACCGGCGACGAUAAUGAUGAGAACGAGGAUGGUGAAGAUGAAGAGACGGUAAAGAAGUCGAC
rnacentral:lncRNA from 1 species